CAGACGGGGCGGGCUGACCAGUUUCCCUGACCAUCGCUCAGCUCCAGGUUCCUCAAGAAACUCUGUCUCAUAAAUAAGAUGGAAUACCUUACGAAGUACUAUAUAUCUGCAUUUUGGCUGCACAUAUGUCUGUGUGCCAUAUACUACCUGUGGAGGCCAGAAGUGGACAUUGAACCCCUGAAACUGGAGUAUCUCAUGGCUGUGAACCACCUUCUGCAGUGUGACAAGCUGACACACCUUUCUUGCUCUGAUGGACUCCAAGCCACCAAAAGUGAACCAAAAUAACCGUUCCUUCCCGAAGCUGAUCUGUCUAGGAAGAAUUGCUCGCAGUGAAAACAGUGAAGCGCUUGGGAAGAGGCUCACAAGCUGAUGCCCGGUGGCGGUCAGCUUUCCCAUUGUUCUUGCAGAGACCCCAGGGAAUGGUGCCUAAUCUCACCGGGAGGGCAUCCAACCUUAUCCCACCCAGCUUUACUCUGAGAAGUUUCUGCCGAUCAUGAUGCAGCUGGCAUCGCAUGAGAAAGCGAGACGGGACUAAUUGAGUGAAUUGGAAACCAAUUACUUUGGAGGAGAGAAGGAAGUGGUGAGGUCGGGAGGCGGGCUGUGAGCUCAAGGGAUAUAUCCGUGGUG